rnacentral:rRNA from 1 species
GAAUAUUGCACAAUGGGCGGAAGCCUGAUGCAGCGACGCCGCGUGAGGGAUGACGGCCUUCGGGUUGUAAACCUCUUUCAGCAGGGACGAAGCGUGAGUGACGGUACCUGCAGAAGAAGCGCCGGCCAACUACGUGCCAGCAGCCGCGGUAAGACGUAGGGCGCGAGCGUUGUCCGGAUUUAUUGGGCGUAAAGAGCUCGUAGGCGGCUCGUUGCGUCAAUCGUGAAAACCCGGGGCUUAACUUCGGGCUUGCGGUUGAUACGGGCGGGCUGGAGUUCGGUAGGGGAGACUGGAAUUCCUGGUGUAGCGGUGAAAUGCGCAGAUAUCAGGAGGAACACCGGUGGCGAAGGCGGGUCUCUGGGCCGAUACUGACGCUGAGGAGCGAAAGCGUGGGGAGCGAACAG